rnacentral:rRNA from 1 species
UGCCUAAUACAUGCAAGUCGAGCGAACGGACGAGAAGCUUGCUUCUCUGAUGUUAGCGGCGGACGGGUGAGUAACACGUGGAUAACCUACCUAUAAGACUGGGAUAACUUCGGGAAACCGGAGCUAAUACCGGAUAAUAUUUUGAACCGCAUGGUUCAAAAGUGAAAGACGGUCUUGCUGUCACUUAUAGAUGGAUCCGCGCUGCAUUAGCUAGUUGGUAAGGUAACGGCUUACCAAGGCAACGAUGCAUAGCCGACCUGAGAGGGUGAUCGGCCACACUGGAACUGAGACACGGUCCAGACUCCUACGGGAGGCAGCAGUAGGGAAUCUUCCGCAAUGGGCGAAAGCCUGACGGAGCAACGCCGCGUGAGUGAUGAAGGUCUUCGGAUCGUAAAACUCUGUUAUUAGGGAAGAACAUAUGUGUAAGUAACUGUGCACAUCUUGACGGUACCUAUUCAGAAAGCCACGGCUAACUACGUGCCAGCAGCCGCGGUAAUACGUAGGUGGCAAGCGUUAUCCGGAAUUAUUGGGCGUAAAGCGCGCGUAGGCGGUUUUUUAAGUCUGAUGUGAAAGCCCACGGCUCAACCGUGGAGGGUCAUUGGAAACUGGAAAACUUGAGUGCAGAAGAGGAAAGUGGAAUUCCAUGUGUAGCGGUGAAAUGCGCAGAGAUAUGGAGGAACACCAGUGGCGAAGGCGACUUUCUGGUCUGUAACUGACGCUGAUGUGCGAAAGCGUGGGGAUCAAACAGGAUU